rnacentral:siRNA from 1 species
UACUCUACAAUGAUAGGCUUCA